rnacentral:rRNA from 1 species
UACGAAGGGGGCUAGCGUUGCUCGGAUUUACUGGGCGUAAAGGGCGCGUAGGCGGACAGUUAAGUCGGGGGUGAAAGCCCGGGGCUCAACCUCGGAAUUGCCUUCGAUACUGGCUGUCUUGAGUGUGAGAGAGGUGUGUGGAACUCCGAGUGUAGAGGUGAAAUUCGUAGAUAUUCGGAAGAACACCAGUGGCGAAGGCGACACACUGGCUCACUACUGACGCUGGAGGCGCGAAAAGCCGUGGGGAGCAAACAGG